AGCCUAACCCUUUUGAAUUUCAAGAGGUAUGGUGAAAAAGGUCCCGCUAGAGUAUAAAAGACUCCUCGUCAGAGUCACUCUAGCGGGUCAUAUCAGGAAACUGGUAUGGGUGGGCCUCGGUCUAUC
rnacentral:sRNA from 12 species